AAUCAUGUAUUUUGUUGUGGAGUUCCUUGACAACUCUGUUGGGAUUGUAAGCAACAGCUGGACUAAUGGUGACAAUUCGAUGACCUUCUGGCCACCUUAUGCAGAUCCAAAUAAAUUUAAAAUGGCUCUAUUAACACAUGCAGUCCCUGGACCAGCGUGGACCACCCACACCAUCACAGUUUUGGGCACUGCAGAUGACUAUGAAAAGGCGAGAAAAAAGGCCAAAAUGGCAGAAACACAUUUAGCUGUCGCCAGUGAGCCUGAGGAGUUGGAGAGAUGCCAGCGUUCAAGACAACCAACGAAACGUUACAUCACCCUGCCUGAGCCUGGACCAAGUAGACCAUUGCCACCAGU